rnacentral:misc_RNA from 1 species
GAUGAAGAACGCAGCGAAAUGCGAUAAGUAAUGUGAAUUGCAGAAUUCAGUGAAUCAUCGAAUCUUUGAACGCACAUUGCGCCCGCCAGUAUUCUGGCGGGCAUGUCUGUUCGAGCGUCAUUACAACCCUCAGGCCCCCGGGCCUGGCGUUGGGGAUCGGCGAGGCGCCCCCCGCGGGCACGCGCCGUCCCCCAAAUACAGUGGCGGUCCCGCCGCAGCUUCCAUUGCGUAGUAGCUAACACCUCGCAACUGGAGAGCGGCGCGGCCAUGCCGUAAAACACCCAACUUCUGAAUGUUGACCUCGAAUCAGGUAGGAAUACCCGCUGAACUUAAGCAUAUCAAUAAGCGGAGGA